GCCGGGCGUGGUGGCAUGUGCCUGUAAUCCCAGCUACUCAGGAGGCUGAGGCAGGAGAAUCGCUUUAACCCAGGAAGUGGAGGUUGCAGUGAGCCAAGAUUGCACCACUGCACUCCAGCCUGGGUGACAGAGCGAGACCCUGUCUCAA
ensembl:misc_RNA Metazoa_SRP Metazoan signal recognition particle RNA